GACGAACGCUGGCGGCGUGCUUAACACAUGCAAGUCGAACGGAAAGGCCCUGCUUGCAGGGUACUCGAGUGGCGAACGGGUGAGUAACACGUGGGUGAUCUGCCCUGCACUUCGGGAUAAGCCUGGGAAACUGGGUCUAAUACCGGAUAGGAGCCCUUUUUAGUGUGAUGGUUGGAAAGUUUUUUCGGUGUAGGAUGAGCUCGCGGCCUAUCAGCUUGUUGGUGGGGUAAUGGCCUACCAAGGCGGGGACGGGUAGCCGGCCUGAGAGGGUGGACGGCCACAUUGGGACUGAGAUACGGCCCAGACUCCUACGGGAGGCAGCAGUGGGGAAUAUUGCAAAAUGGGCGCAAGCCUGAUGCAGCGACGCCGCGUGGGGGAUGACGGCCUUCGGGUUGGAAACUCCUUUCGCUAGGGACGAAGCUUUUUGUGACGGUACCUAGAUAAGAAGCACCGGCUAACUACGUG
rnacentral:rRNA from 1 species